AACGAACGCUGGCGGCAUGCCUAACACAUGCAAGUCGAACGAGACCUUCGGGUCUAGUGGCGCACGGGUGCGUAACGCGUGGGAACCUGCCCUUAGGUUCGGAAUAACUCCCCGAAAGGGGUGCUAAUACCGGAUAAUGUCUUCGGACCAAAGAUUUAUCGCCUUUGGAUGGGCCCGCGUUGGAUUAGCUAGUUGGUAGGGUAAAAGCCUACCAAGGCGACGAUCCAUAGCUGGUCUGAGAGGAUGAUCAGCCACACUGGGACUGAGACGCGGCCCAGACUCCUACGGGAGGCAGCAGUGGGGAAUAUUGGACAAUGGGCGAAAGCCUGAUCCAGCAAUGCCGCGUGAGUGAUGAAGGCCUUAGGGUUGUAAAGCUCUUUUACCCGGGAUGAUAAUGACAGUACCGGGAGAAUAAGCUCCGGCUAACUCCGUG
rnacentral:rRNA from 1 species